ACCGCUUGAUCUGCUCUACUCGAU
rnacentral:siRNA from 1 species